AUGAGAGACAGAGACCAGGCAGGUUAGGCCGAUGUGACCGUGUCCUCCCCAGGCCACGAAGGGAGCAGGAACUUCAGGUGGUCUUCAUCAAGCUACAUGGUGGCCACGGUCACUGUCAAGGGCAGGAUGAUCACAGGCAGUGACACUGGACUCAGUGGGAUCCAGGCACAUGACGUGCAGAACCCGCUCCAUUUCAGGGAGAUGAGAUACCUGUCUGUGCAGCUAAAGGCAGUGGAGAGGAGCCCAAAGAGUCAGCAGAUGUGAGGGAACUUUAUCAGAGGAAGGCCACCUCUGGAAGGUAGCAAAAACCAAAAGGAUCUCUGGAUUAUCUGUGUGGGCUUUUUACUUUGCUUGUUUUUACCAAAAAAAAAGGUAAGAA